AUGCACAAGCAAGGAAAUGGCCACUCUGGUAAAUAUAUCAAAAUCAUAUGGACCCAAAUAAGACCUCUGGUGGAAGUGGGAAGAGACAUUGUUGCAACCAAGGGAAUGAACCCUUUUUUUUGCUGCUCCCUUACAGCACCAGGAAGUCCUUUUUCAUUAUUAUACGUUCUUGAUGUAAGAGGCAUCUCCUGGGGAAUUCCAUUUUUUACUUGUGGUGACAGAAUGGAGGAGAUACCCCUGGAAGAACUGGACUCCACAGAAGAAAUAUAUGCAACAGCUUCAUCAUCUUAUCUCUGGCUUUAG
rnacentral:lncRNA from 1 species